GAUUACUGGACCCAGCAGUGUAGGUUGUAAGAUUACUGAACCAGCAUUGUAGGUUGUAAGAUUGCUGGACCAGCAGUGUAGCUUGUAAGAUUACUGGACCAGCAGUGUAGGUUGUAAGAUUACUAGACCAACAUUGUAGGUUGUAAGAUUACUGGAUCAGCAGUGUAGCUUGUAAGAUUACUGGACCAGCAGUGUAGGUUGUAAGAUUACUAGACCAACAGUGUAGGUUGUAAGAUUACUAGACCAACAGUGUAGGUUGUAAGAUUACUAGACCAACAGUGUAGGUUGUAAGAUUACUGGAUCAGCAGUGUAGGCUGUAAGAUUACUGGACCAGCAGUGUAGCUUGUAA